GGUCUUGAGAGAUGACAUCGGUUUCAUGUAAAUGACAUCAUAUGAAUAUGAGCUCAUGACAUUAGCAUGAUCAAUGUUCGUUAUUGUCGUCAAUAAGACUCUUAGCUUCAACAAAUAGAAAGAUGCAUAUUCUUCGUGAAGAAUUUACAAAGUAAUACGUCUCUUUUUCCUUUCAUUGAAUAAUUAAACGGUGGACGAAUUCUUUAUUCAUUAUGGAAACAUAAUGAUUCGAUAAUCAUGGGUGAUUAUAAUAUGUGUGAUCGUUUCUCCUGCUGAGUGAGAGAUCUCUUUAAGUCACAAGCUCUCAUGAUCCUCAAAUUACUAUUACGAAGACGUGUUACAUUCAAUGUCUUGAUACAGAGAUUCCUCUUUCUUGUUUUCACCAAUCUCAUGGCUUAGCAAAUUAUGUCUCUUAUUAAACAUUAUCAGACGUAGAAGGAACCUCGUUUUUUCUCCUUCAACCAGACAUAGUUUUCCUCUCCUUUGUUGAAUUUAUGUUCUCUUAUAUUUGUGUACUUUUUCUGGAAAGAUCAUAUGGAUUGUGAGGGCGAC
rnacentral:lncRNA from 1 species